UGCUAGUCGCGUGCUUCAGCCAAAACGAAGCACGGCACACAGCUCAGUAACACGUGGCUAAUCUGCCCUUGGGAUAGGAAUACCCCCGGGAAACUGGGGCUAAUUCCCAAUAGGUGAAGAACUCUGGAAUGAGUCUCCACCAGAAAAGAGCUUACGUUAUGCUCGUAAGUUUCGCCCAAGGAUGAGGCCGCGACCGAUCAGGUUGUUGGCGAGGUAAUGGCUCACCAAGCCUUUUACCGGUGCGGGCCGUGGGAGCGGGAGCCCGGAGAUGGGUACUGAGACAAGGACCCAGGCCCUACGGGGCGCAGCAGUCGCGAAAACUUUGCAAUAAGCGCAAGCUUGACAGGGCUAUCCCGAGUGCCAUCCGCUGAGGAAGGCUUUUACCCAGUCUAGAACGCUGGGGGAAUAAGGAGAGGGCAAGUCUGGUGUCAGCCGCCGCGGUAAUACCAGCUCUCCGAGUGGUGUGGAUGUUUAUUGGGCCUAAAGCAUCCGUAGCUGGCUAAGUUAGUCCCUUGUUAAAUCCACCGAAUUAAUCGUUGGAUUGCGGGGGAUACUGCUUGGCUAGGGGACGAGAGAGGCAGACGGUAUUUUCGGGGUAGGGGUGAAAUCCUAUAAUCCCGGGAAGACCACCAGUGGCGAAGGCUGUCUGCUAGAACGCGCCCGACGGUGAGGGAUGAAAGCUGGGGGAGCGAACCGGAUUAGAUACCCGGGUAGUCCCAGCUGUAAACGAUGCAGGCUAGGUGUUUGGACGGCCACGUGCCGUUCUAGUGCCGCAGGAAAGCCGUUAAGCCUGCCGCCUGGGGAGUACGGCCGCAAGGCUGAACUUAA
rnacentral:rRNA from 1 species